UUUCAGAGCCGCGGUGGCUGCUGAGGUCACUUGUCUGAAAUAGGUGAAUCCCUGUCAGAAGGGACAUACAAGGUUCUCACCCCACAGAGCUUUUCUGAGAAGGUUUAAGCACAUGGGAUUCUUGGCCCCCUGUGAAGCGGCACUAAGCUUGGACUACCUGCUCCUCCUUCAGCUCUGUUCUGCCUCUUGUCAACUUCUAGAAGAGGAGCCAUUCAAAGGAAGACAAGGAAUAAACACAGGGGAAUGACCUUGCCAGGUUUCGAGGCCAAAUGGUCAACCUGGAAGUCCCUAAGGAGAAUACAGGAGCCUUCACAAGAGUAAUGGCAACGGUUUCCUAACCUCUGCCAAUGAAAAUCCCACCGAUGAAGGCGGGGCAGUGCUGCUGUGUCAGGGAUGAGAAGCAAUGCCUGUGGCUGUGGAAAGGAAUGACAGGCCCCCCCAUCCUGCCCCGCACUCACGGCUGGGGACCCCUCCGAGGAGCUCUGCUGUAAAAGGAGACCCACAUUUAAGAAUGCACGGUUGUGCAGAAACGUGACAUUUUACUGUCAUCGUGUGCCAUGGUUUGAUCUUUUGUUCAGACAAAUGACCGAGAAUUCUGAAAUACAACAAAAUUCUGCAGCCCUUUUCAGAGGCGUACCAGAGUGCUAACAGACAGGCAUUCCCAAGGACUAUUUGAUUUUCUAAAGAGCGUCCUUUUCUCUGUUUAGUAAUGAUGGUUAAUUAGUCCGCAAACUGUGAAGUACAUGUUAAAGAUUUUUCUUUGGUAAACUUGUAAAUGCUAUAUGUUCAUUUGAAAAAAGAACCCCAAAAUUCUAGUACUGAUUGCCACAUUGGAAAUUAUUUGCUUACAACUCAGCAAAUGGAUUUCAUUUUGCCUUCCCCAGUGGACUAAAUACCUGAUAGUCUCUGAACCCAUUUGUUACCUUGCAGGUUCCCUCACUGGUGGGUUAAGUAAGUGUUUGGCAUGCGUCCAUUCUACAUUUACAUGAAGGUCGUAUUUUCAAACUCUUUGAAAAGCAGACUUGGAUGGCACACUGGCCGGGUUCCUUUGGUUAGUGUGCAGAAUAGAACAGGCCUGGUUGCUGCCUUCUGAAAGCCUGCUUGGAAGGGUGGGAACUUGGUUUCAGGAGGGUCUCCACCAACCUAACAGAUAAGAGUGGCUCCUGAUGCCUAAACCGUUUGUGUCAACAGCACGGUUUACACCGCACACCUGCUUUCUUUCCAGGAGUCCAGGGUUUUGGUAAGGGCUGGGCACAGGGUGCCUUCGUGACCACACCACGGUAACGGCCACGGGCACUGAGUCCCUGUGGAGGCUCCCUGCGGACUACAUUUCACAUAUGGUCACAGACUGUCACUGGGGAAAGUCCCCUGCAGGGAGAAGUCUUAGAAACUCAGGUCUAGUUUCCAAUGGACUUUGUCCUGUGAGCCUUUUCCUGUAGUUAAUCAUAACCGAAUACGCAAGCACAACUAUAUGGUGAGUCCUAGCAAGUCAAUAAAUCUGGAAAAGGGCUUCAAGACACCCAGACAGAGUUAGCGACAGGCCUUUUUACAUGCACUCUUUUUUACAAAACAAUUCUAAAUUGUUCUUUAAAAAAUUUUUUUGACUAGAUCCGGGUUGAUGUCCAGCAAGGCGUAGAUUUCAUGGAGGAAGAAUAGUCCUCCCCAGGUCACUCAAAUGAAAACCUUCCAUCUGUUCCCUAAAACCCAGACAUUUGAAAUCAACUCACUUGUGUCCUGAUACGAUCCGUCA